rnacentral:lncRNA from 1 species
UUGGGAUCGGGUCGAAAAACGCAGCGGAAAUAAUUUUUUUCAAAAUUAUAAAUGAAAUAACUAUUAUUUCAUUCCAACGGCAUUAACGACUUCAUGUUAACAUGAUGAACGAGUGAGAAAAGAAUCUCAUACCUUUUCGCACUCCGGUUGAUGUCGGGAUUUGGAAGCAAUCGGUUGCUCGCAGGGAUCCAAGCGUAUCCCCUCUAUCAAGUCCACACUUUAGCAACCGUGUCAAGCGAUUAGUUCUUCGCUAGCAAAACUAAGCACUCUUGUGUUGUAGAGAAAAUCAGAGAGAGAGCGAGCAGCCAGAAUGAGAGAAAAAGAAAUCUGCAGAAUCGUUU